CAACGGCAGGUCGAUCUAGGGUCCCUGUGGUGAUUGUUGUCAUCACCGUAACAUUAGUUUUGGCUCUCGCUGGUUUUGCUGCAUAUUUCUCUCUCCACAUCUUGCAGAAACUUAAACAGAAGCAUCCAGAGGAUGAUGAGACACAAAAACAACCACUACCAGUCUAGCUGCUGUACUCAAAGGAGCGUUGGUGUUAAUGGAGCUGAGAGCAAUUUAUCUUUCCUGAAUCUUCACAUUUAUGUUGGAUUCAAACCAUCAACCACAGGGAGACACUCGGGCCCAGCAGCACUGAGAUCAUCAUAAGGUCACUCCUACAAAAGGAUGUGAGAUUGACUUGAACUUUGACCCCAGCUGAAGACUCGAGCCUCGUCCAGCUUAUUUAUUGAGCUCAUUUUCAGACAAACAAAGUGACGUACAAGAAAACCCAGAGUGGAAGAUCAGAGGAUGUAAACAGGAAAUAUUUCUUACAGACGUCUUCAGUCAGAGUUGCUGCUGUCAGACUCUGGAGGAUCUGCUUGGAAACAGCAGUGAAACUGAUGGAUUUCCUCCUUCAGUACAAAACUGUGAAGUUCAGCCUGGAGAAGAAACACUCCUCUGCCUCACUGUCAGCGUGUUUAAUGAAUUUACUUACUGGUUGGUUGUUUGUUUGUUUGUUUGUUUGUUUGUUAAAGGUGAACUUAAACCUUUCAGUGAGACCUCAAAGUGUCUCUGAGGGACUAAUUAAAGGGUUAAAAUCCUCCCUGAUGAUCACUGUGCUGGGCUGACAUAGAUCAUUCCCAAACAAGCAGUCUUUUCCAUUCCAUUUGCAUUCAUUACAGAUGGAAGUGGAUAUUUCCAGCACAGUUCAUGUGGAAAGUUCGGGGGGAGUCACCUGAAAAUUGUGUUGGUGACACAGAAGACUGGAAAAGCACCAACAAGUUUUAAAGUAGUAGAAAGAGAAUUUAUGGAGCUCAUAAGGAGAACUCCUUUGUUUUACUGAUCUCACUGUAUGAAAGCAGACUUUGUU
ensembl:lncRNA